UUACUUGUCCACGUUGAUUGUUAGGUGUCGCAUUUUUGUUAGAAAUUAACGUUAAUUAGGUGCACAAUAUUAACGUCUAAUAAAAAUGCGACACGUAACGGUCAACGUUA
rnacentral:pre_miRNA from 1 species